UAGGGUUUGAUCAUGGCUCAGAUUGAACGCUGGCGGCAUGCCUUACACAUGCAAGUCGAACGGCAGCACGGGGGCAACCCUGGUGGCGAGUGGCGAACGGGUGAGUAACAUAUCGGAACGUGCCCUGGAGUGGGGGAUAACUAGUCGAAAGACUAGCUAAUACCGCAUACGAUCUACGGAUGAAAGUGGGGGAUCGCAAGACCUCAUGCUCGUGGAGCGGCCGAUAUCUGAUUAGCUAGUUGGUGGGGUAAAGGCCUACCAAGGCAUCGAUCAGUAGCUGGUCUGAGAGGACGACCAGCCACACUGGGACUGAGACACGGCCCAGACUCCUACGGGAGGCAGCAGUGGGGAAUUUUGGACAAUGGGCGCAAGCCUGAUCCAGCAAUGCCGCGUGAGUGAAGAAGGCCUUCGGGUUGUAAAGCUCUUUUGGCAGGGAAAGAAACGGGCCGGGCUAAUACCUUUGGCCUAAUGACGGGUACCUGAAGAAUAAGCACCGGCUAACUACGUGCCAGCAGCCGCGGUA
rnacentral:rRNA from 1 species